rnacentral:rRNA from 1 species
GUGGGUAGUUUGACUGGGGCGGUCUCCUCCUAAAGAGUAACGGAGGAGCACGAAGGUUGGCUAAUCCUGGUCGGACAUCAGGAGGUUAGUGCAAUGGCAUAAGCCAGCUUGACUGCGAGCGUGACGGCGCGAGCAGGUGCGAAAGCAGGUCAUAGUGAUCCGGUGGUUCUGAAUGGAAGGGCCAUCGCUCAACGGAUAAAAGGUACUCCGGGGAUAACAGGCUGAUACCGCCCAAGAGUUCAUAUCGACGGCGGUGUUUGGCACCUCGAUGUCGGCUCAUCACAUCCUGGGGCUGAAGUAGGUCCCAAGGGUAUGGCUGUUCGCCAUUUAAAGUGGUACGCGAGCUGGGUUUAGAACGUCGUGAGACAGUUCGGUCCCUAUCUGCCGUGGGCGCUGGAGAACUGAGGGGGGCUGCUCCUAGUACGAGAGGACCGGAGUGGACGCAUCACUGGUGUUCGGGUUGUCAUGCCAAUGGCACUGCCCGGUAGCUAAAUGCGGAAGAGAUAAGUGCUGAAAGCAUCUAAGCACGAAACUUGCCCCGAGAUGAGUUCUCCCUGAGACUUUAAGUCUCCUGAAGGAACGUUGAAGACGACGACGUUGAUAGGCCGGGUGUGUAAGCGCAGCGAUGCGUUGAGCUAACCGGUACUAAUGAACCGUGAGGCUUAACCUUACAACGCCGAAGCUGUU